AAGAGCUGCUGGGCAUGAUUCCUAUUCAUCAUCUCAUUUAGCAUCAUCAUGUUGGGCAUCUGGCCAUUGCCCAUCAUUGGCUUCGUCUUGUUGGGUGCUUGGUGGUAGGCAUCAUCAUAAUCAUCAAAAUCCUCAUCAUCCAUAAAAUCAUCAUCUUCAUCAUAAUCCCACUCUUCAUCAGUGAAUUCCUCAUCCUCAGGCAGAAUGAAUUUCCCUCCUCCUUUCUGGUUCAGGAUCGGACCCGGGUCCUUGGAGGGCAUCUUGAGGUCCUUGAAUUGGGGCAGCUUGAGAUCUUGCAACGCUUUCAUCUGCUGGAGCUGCUGAAGCUGCUGCUGGUUCGGGACGUUCUUACCAUUUUUGGCAUUACCCCCGUUCUUGCCACCAUUUUUACCACCACCGCCACCUUGGCUUUGAUUAUUUCCUCCUCCGCCUUUUUUCCCACCGUUCCCAUUUUUGCCAUCAUUGUUCUGAAUAGGCGCACCUCCACCACCGCCACCUUUCUUGCCAUUAUUACCAGCACUACCUCCAACAUUUCCCCCACCCUUUUGAGCAUUCAAGAGCUGCUGGGCAUGAUUCCCAUUCAUCAUCUCAUUCAGCAUCAUCAUGUUGGGCAUCUGGCCAUUGCCCAUCAUUGGCUUCGUCUUGUUGGGUGCUUGGUGGUGGGCAUCAUCAUAGACAUCAUCAAACUCCUCAUCAUCCAUAGAAUCAUCAUCUUCAUCAUUGACUUCAUCAGACUCCUCAUCAUCCUUAGAAUCAUCAUCUUCAUCAUUGUCAUCAGACUCUUCAUCAGUGAAUUCCUCAUCCUCAGGCAGAAUGAAUUUCACUCCUCCUUUCUGGUUCAGGUUUGGACCCGGGUCCUUGAAGGGCAUCUUGAGGUCCUUGAAUUGGGGCAGCUUAUGAUCUUGGGAAGAUUUCAUCUGCUGAAGCUGCUUGAGCUGCUGGAGCUGCUGAUGGAGCUGCAGCUGGGUCGGAUGUGGAAACAGCUGCUGGCUCGGGAGGUUCUGACCACCCUUAGGCUGGUUGUUU
rnacentral:lncRNA from 1 species